UAUGAGGAAGAGUUGAGUCAUGGAUGCUAAGCUGCUCUGAACUGCGCAGACUGGGUUUCAGAAGUUGGGGAGUCCCAAAAAUAAAGAAGGCCUGGUGAUCGAGCUUAAGAACGGUGAGGCUCUGCAUGGGGUGAGACACUUCUACCCAGCCACCAGCAGUCAAUGCCUGCAGUAAUCCCGCGACAAGGCAGAUCUGAAAUAAGAUCACUGGAGGACAAGAGUUUAUGGAGGUGCUGCGGUGACACGCUCACAAAGUCUUCACAGUCCACCACUUCGGCAAAAUGUUCA